rnacentral:rRNA from 1 species
UACAUAGGGUGCAAGCGUUAAUCGGAAUUACUGGGCGUAAAGCGUGCGCAGGCGGUUUUGUAAGUCUGUCGUGAAAUCCCCGGGCUCAACCCGGGAACUGCGUCCGAUACUGGCAGGCUUGAAUCCGGGAGAGGGAUGCGGAAUUCCAGGUGUAGCGGUGAAAUGCGUAGAUAUCUGGAGGAACACCGAUGGCGAAGGCAGCUCGCUGGGACGGUACUGACGCUGAGGCGCGAAAGCGUGGGGAGCAAACAGG